rnacentral:misc_RNA from 1 species
ACUUUAGGGUCAUGUAUGACAUCAACUCCAAUCGAAACUCGACGCCUUUCUCCGCCGGAAAUCCCACGAACCCUUUCGUCACCCACACGAGUCAUGGCUACAUGCUCCAGGCCAAGUUCUUGGACCAAGGACUUAACCCUUGAUAUCAGUUGUUCUUCAGGAAGCCUCAGACGCAGCUUGGCACUAAACAUAAGGGUUUCCUCCACUGUGAGUAGAGGAAAAAGUGUGUCUCUCUGUGUGACAUAGCCUGAUAUCUUCUUGAACUGAGCCUUGUCGACAGGAUUUUGGUUGACAAGAAUGGAACCAUUUUGUGGGGUAAGUUUUCCGGCGAGGACUUCAAGCAAGGAUGAUUUUCCAGCUCCACUUGGACCAACAAUGGCAAGGAUUUCCGAUGGCUUUGCUUUGCAAUUAACGCCAUUAAGAAGAUGCUUUUCUGCAAGAUUUGGUUUGAGUUCCUGAUUAAUUUGUUGAUCUUCAUUGAAGAUUUUAAAAGGGUAGUUUCUUUUCUGGGUGGAAAUCUUGAAGGUGAUCCCUCUAGCUUCAAUCUCACAGCCCUGUUUCUUCAUUGAAGAAGCCUUAUUUUUCAAUGGUUUUUGGGUGGCUUCUGGCUUGUCUAGCUACCUUCUCUCUCAAGACCACCCACUUCAAC